UGUCAUCUUAAGUGGUGUGUUUAGUGUUAUAUAUUAACACAAUGUUAAUACACUCUAAUUUACUGAUGUGCUUGUGACUUGUUUUGCAGUGUCAUAUACAAUAAAAAAAACUGCUCUCUUUUUAUAUCUUUUAAGAUGUAAACAUUAUUUUUAUGUUUGUCAGUAUAUGACAGUGAAAAUAUUCAGACUGUUGUUGAUUCGUGCAUACUUCAUUUAUCCUACAUAAGCAAUGGUUUCUAUUUCUGCACUGUGUACUUGUUUCUGUAUUGAUAUCUCCUCUCAGAUCUAACCUGAAAGGUCUGUACCGAGGGGACAUUUACAGUGUCUACAAUCGCCAGAGAAGCAUCCGACCGUCCCGGCCUGCCAUCGUCUGCUGGAUGGGUUUCACCAGCUACCAGGCUGCACUCGUCUGUAUAGCCCUGUUGAUUCAGACGCUCAUUUUCUUUAUCUGUAUCCUGUGGUUCGUGUUCCUGAUCCUGAUUCCCAUACUGUACGACCAGAACCUCAUCCUCUUCCGAAUCCUCAAGGUCAUGUGGUGAGUACUGGGCAGCCGUGCUCCUUGCCUGUGGAUUUCUCCUUACACAACUAAUAGAAAAAAAGCAUGGAUUCCAUAGUCUCACACAAAACUGUGUUUGGCAGAAAUGUAUAAUUCUGUAGCCGCCUUGUAGUUGCUGGAAUUUCAUUCUAGAGCCCCGGUGCCAUGGCGAUUUGCAUCGUGCUCCACAUCUCUGAAACUCCCUCUCUAAUGUAAUUCGGAAUGCAGAGACAUUUAAUGAUUUCAAGGUUAGGGUUAAGUCAUGCUUUUCUUUAACUGUGUCAGCUGCUUUUAGUUUGUAAACCACCCUGGGAUGAAUGCCCUGUAUGAAGCAAUGAGAUUAGCAUGGUAAGGUUGCAACAGUUAACACAUAUACAGUUUUUGUUGUGGCUGCCCAUAUUCUGCCAGUAAUAAGCAUAUUUUUACACUGCAGAGAAUGAUUUUACUGCAGGGAGAAUCUUUCAGUCCUCACUCAACGUUUAUUCUGGAUAUGCAAAUGUUUCCAUACGUUUGAGAUGAUCUGCUUCACCAUGGUCACCAUGGUCUGAUAGCAGAGACUGCUGUCGUGAGUAUGGACUGCUGCGUUUGAUUAAGUAACAGGAAGCAUCUUCAGGGGUUGAAAAUACAUUUUUGAACCGUUGGCUUAACACUCCAUUAGAUAUCUGAACUGCACUUGUUUUUGAACUGCCUCUAGAUAAGUUUGACUUGAAUAACUGAAACCGUUUAUUUGGAGCUUGUUUUAGUGGCCUGCUGUAAAGCACCACUGUCACAGUGUUCCCAGAGCUAUUUGCACCUUGUUUCUUCGCACAGGCCCUUCUGGCUGAUGCUGUGAUUGUUCAGCAUGUGAUGGCCAAGUUUGCCUUCCUUAAAAAGGAUGCCGGGACGAGAGACUUGGACAACAGACAGGGGAUGUUUCUGCUCACCUACCUGCUGUUCCCUGUCAAUGUUCUGGUGGGGGUUCUCCUGGGGGUGUGGAGGAUUGUAAUCACUGGCCUCUUCAACAUCAUUCACCUGGGCCGGCUGGACAUCAGCCUGCUAAACCGGGGUGUGGAGUCCUUCGACCCAGGUAUGUCUGCUUACUGCCACUGUCUUUAUCACUGUAUCAGCAUGCCCUCUCCUGCAUUGUAAAGCAAUGCUUAACCACCCUAGAACUCUGAACUCUGGUACGCUACAGGUCCAUGUUUUACUGAUAGCUUAGUAGCCGUGUCUUCUCACUGAUAUACUUGUUGGCACUCCUCCCCUCCUGUUAUUCUGCUGCUUUUAGAUUUGAAGAGCUGCUUCCUCCACCCAAUCGCUUCUUGUGCUGCAGAUCAAAUAAACCAUUGGAAUGAACCUGACCUACAGCACAGGAAAUGGUUAGCUGCCAGGAAGCAUCAGUAGCUUUUUUGAUGGGUAUUAUUACUGCUCCCAGAUUUUCACAAACCUUCUGGGAGUAAUAAUGUUGCU